rnacentral:lncRNA from 1 species
AUGGGGUCCUAGGGGGCUAUGGGGGUCCUGUGGGGGGCUAUGGGGGGUUAUGUAGGUCCUUGGGGGGGGGCUAUAGGGGGUAAUGGGGUCCUCGGGGGGUUAUAAGGGUCCUGGGAGGGUUGUGGGGGGGUUUAUGAGGGGUCCCUGAAGGGGGGAUUUGGGGGGUCCUGGGGGGGUCUAUGGGGGUCCUGGGGGGGAUUAUGGGUCGCUUGGGGGGUCUAUGAGCGGGUCUCUAUGGGGGAUCUAUGGGGUCUCUAUGGGAUCUAUGGGGUUUCUAUUGGACCUCUGGGUCCUUAUGGGGUCUCUAUGGGAUCUAUGAGUCCUUAUGGGGUCUCUAUGGGAUCUGUGGGUCUUUAUAGGGUCUCUAUGGGUUUUAUGGGGUUUCAAUGGGAUCUCUGGGGUUUCUAUGGGAUCUAUGGGGUUUCUAUGGUCUCUAUGGGGUCUCUAUGGGAUCUCUGGGUUUCUAUGGGAUCUAUGGGGUCUCUAUGGGAUCUAUGGGGUCUCUAUGGGAUCUAUGGGGUCUCUAUGGGAUCUAUGGGUUCCUAUGGGCUCUAUGGGGUCUCUAUAGGAUCUAUGGGUCUGUAUGGGGUCUAUGGGUUUCUAUGGGAUCUCUGGGGUCUCUAUGGGAUCUGUGGGUCCCACCUCACCCCAUGGAUCCCAGCCCCACAUCUGUGGGUCCCACACAUUCCCAGUCUCAGUCUCAGUCUCUUUAUUUCCGAUCUAUGGGGCUCGUUCUGCCCCAUAAGUGUAGGCUUUAUUUCCGAUCUAUGGGGCUCGUUCUGCCCCAUAAGUAAGUGUGGGGCUCAGGACCCCACCUCACGCCCCGCGGGGCCGCUGGGACGGCGGUUGUGGGGCUGACGUGGGGGGCUGGGGGCUGCCCCACAGCAUGGGGGGACUGCGCCGUGGGGCGCAGUGGGGCUGGAGCUAUGGGGCACAGCAGCCCCACUGCUAUGGGGCACAGCAGCCCCACU